rnacentral:rRNA from 1 species
CCUACGGGAGGCAGCAGUGAGGAAUAUUGGUCAAUGGACGAGAGUCUGAACCAGCCAAGUAGCGUGAAGGAUGACUGCCCUAUGGGUUGUAAACUUCUUUUAUAUGGGAAUAAAAUGUUCCACGUGUGGGAUUUUGUAUGUACAAUAUGAAUAAGGAUCGGCUAACUCCGUGCCAGCAGCCGCGGUAAUACGGAGGAUCCGAGCGUUAUCCGGAUUUAUUGGGUUUAAAGGGAGCGUAGGUGGGUUGUUAAGUCAGUUGUGAAAGUUUGCGGCUCAACCGUAAAAUUGCAGUUGAAACUGGCAGUCUUGAGUACAGUAGAGGUGGGCGGAAUUCGUGGUGUAGCGGUGAAAUGCUUAGAUAUCACGAAGAACUCCGAUUGCGAAGGCAGUUCACUGGACUGCAACUGACACUGAGGCUCGAAAGUGUGGGUAUCAAACAGGAUUAGAUACCCGUGUAGUC